rnacentral:lncRNA from 10 species
AGUUGCUUCAUUCACCGGAGCCAGUUAAGCUGCUGAAAUGAAAUGGAUCACCGGAGAGAUCACUAUAUCAGGACAUAGACUUGACUUUCAGGGUUGGAGGAAGCCGGACAAAGAUGAAUGGGAUUCAGAGCCUGAACUCAAGGUCAACGUCUUCUGAAUCACAAAGAGCUGGUGGGUCAGUCUGGGAGAAGAAAGAAAAUUCUGCGCCAAAUGGGAAAACCCUUAAAGUCUGCAUAGUUUUGCUUGUCGGGUUGUUAUGAGGCUCAAAGGAACGGCUGCUGUGAAAAAACAUGCUUUGCAAUUUAUGAAGCACUGGAUAAACAUCAGGAACGGUAUAAAAGCAUGCUGCUUACUCAAGAAAUACUAGUUGAGUGCCUGUGUGUUGGGCACUGGCUAGAGAUAAGGGUCUCCUAUGGACAGAAGUGCGGGCAAGGAGCUUUGUUCCUCCCCGAUGUCACCCUCCCACAGCCCACUUGCUAGCAGGCAAGAGAGGGGUGGAGGCCGGCAGUAAGGCAUGUACUGAACUGGACCUCUGGUGGAAUGGGUCACCCACGCUGGGCUUGGUGGGUAUUUGAAAGUGACUCUUUCGUGAACACUGUUGUGAGCCCUCACUGGGAAUGUCUGGCCAUGCUUCCUGACGCUGGCAAUGAAUUUUCUCUAGCUGCUUAUUCUACCCCAACCUUGGUCUUCCUUCUGUCCCCUCCAUGCAGACUCUUACCAUCAGGGUCCUGCCAACCCUUCAGUGAGACUUUUUCCGAAGAAUCCCUUUU